rnacentral:rRNA from 1 species
AAUGAACGUUGGCGGCGUGGAUUAGGCAUGCAAGUCGAGGGGUAGCAAGAUUGUAGCAAUACAAUUGUUGACGACCGGCAAACGGGUGCGGAACACGUACACAACCUUCCUACAAGUGGGGAAUAGCCCAGAGAAAUUUGGAUUAAUACCCCGUAACAUAGCGAUGUGGCAUCACAUUGCUAUUAUAGCUUCGGCGCUUGUUGAUGGGUGUGCGGCUGACUAGAUAGUUGGCGGGGUAACGGCCCACCAAGUCUACGAUCAGUAGCUGAUGUGAGAGCAUGAUCAGCCACACGGGCACUGAGACACGGGCCCGACUCCUACGGGAGGCAGCAGUAAGGAAUAUUGGACAAUGGACGCAAGUCUGAUCCAGCCAUGCCGCGUGAAGGAUUAAGGUCCUCUGGAUUGUAAACUUCUUUUAUAAGGGACGAAAAAAGGUCUUUCUAGAUCGUCUGACGGUACCUUAUGAAUAAGCUCCGGCUAACUCCGUGCCAGCCGCCGCCGUAACAC